rnacentral:rRNA from 1 species
UACGUAGGGCGCAAGCGUUGUCCGGAAUUAUUGGGCGUAAAGAGCUCGUAGGCGGCCUGUUGCGUCCGCUGUGAAAUCCCGGGGCUCAGCCCCGGGCCUGCAGUGGAUACGGGCUGGCUAGAGGCAGGCAGGGGAGAACGGAAUUCCUGGUGUAGCGGUGAAAUGCGCAGAUAUCAGGAGGAACACCGGUGGCGAAGGCGGUUCUCUGGGCCUGUACUGACGCUGAGGAGCGAAAGCGUGGGGAGCAAACAGG